rnacentral:rRNA from 1 species
GACGUAGGAGGCGAGCGUUGUCCGGAUUCAUUGGGCGUAAAGAGCACGCAGGCGGUUUGGCAAGUCGGAUGUGAAAACCCGGAGCUCAACUCCGGACCUGCAUCCGAAACUGCCCGACUAGAGGUAGGUAGGGGAGAUCGGAAUUCCUGGUGUAGCGGUGAAAUGCGCAGAUAUCAGGAGGAACACCCGUAGCGAAGGCGGCACUCUGGGCCGAUACUGACACUGAGGAGCGAAAGCGUGGGGAGCGAACAGG